rnacentral:rRNA from 1 species
GACGAACGCUGGCGGCGUGCUUAACACAUGCAAGUCGAACGGAAAGGCCCUGCUUUUGUGGGGUGCUCGAGUGGCGAACGGGUGAGUAACACGUGAGUAACCUGCCCUUGACUUUGGGAUAACUUCAGGAAACUGGGGCUAAUACCGGAUAGGAGCUCCUGCUGCAUGGUGGGGGUUGGAAAGUUUCGGCGGUUGGGGAUGGACUCGCGGCUUAUCAGCUUGUUGGUGGGGUAGUGGCUUACCAAGGGUUUGACGGGUAGCCGGCCUGGGAGGGUGACCGGCCACAUUGGGACUGAGAUAGGGCCCAGACUCCUACGGGAGGCAGCAGUGGGGAAUAUUGCACAAUGGGCGGGAGCCUGAUGCAGCAACGCCGCGUGCGGGAUGACGGCUUUCGGGUUGUAAACCGCUUUCGCCUGUGACGAAGCGUGAGUGACGGUAAUGGGUAAAGAAGCACCGGCUAACUACGUG